ACCAGCUCCCGCCGCCCUGCCCCGGGCCUGGAGCGCGCCCAGCCCUGCUGAAGGGUCCUGGCUGCUGUUAUCCCCUCGUCCCGUUGUCCCCUCGGGACGUCUGGCACAGCUUCCCCGACUAAUUCCGGCCCCUCACCUCAACUGUGCUGGCCGGGAGGAGAGCAGAGACGCAGUCCUGCCCAGUGUAGACCGUGGACCCCGCAGCCGAAUCCCUUGGGAAGCUGCUUAAAGUGCAUCCUACCAAUGCAGCUCCUUUAGGGCCAUGGAGCCCCAAUACUCUGCAUUCCUAACACGCGCUGUGGGGCAGGCGCAGUCCAGGUACACCUACUUUCUCCUGCCUCUGCCACCCCUGAGACAGCAAGACCAGCCCCCUCUUCCUCCUUCCCAGUCUACUCAACAUGAAGACGACAGAGAGGAAGACCUUUAUGAGGAUUCACUUCCACUUAAGGAAUAAUGAAUAUGUUUUAUCUUCCUUAAAAAAAAAAUAAAAGAUGUGGAGGAUGGCUUGA